rnacentral:rRNA from 1 species
ACAUCGGUGACAGGUGGUGCAUGGUUGUCGUCAGCUCGUGUCGUGAGAUGUUGGGUUAAGUCCCGCAACGAGCGCAACCCCUAUUGUUAGUUGCCAUCAUUCAGUUGGGCACUCUAGCGAGACUGCCGGUAAUAAACCGGAGGAAGUGGGGAGUGACGUCAAAUCAUCAUGCCCCUUAUGACCUGGGCUACACACGUGCUACAAUGGUUGGUACAACGAGUUGCGAGUCGGUGACGGCGAGCUAAUCUCUUAAAGCCAAUCUCAGUUCGGAUUGUAGGCUGCAACUCGCCUACAUGAAGUCGGAAUCGCUAGUAAUCGCGGAUCAGCACGCCGCGGUGAAUACGUUCCCGGGUCUU